GGAAAUCUCACCAGGCCCGGACACUGGAAGGAUUGACAGAUUGAUAGCUCUUUCUUGAUUCGGUGAGAUUGAGCAAUAACAGGUCUGUGAUGCCCGUUCUUAGUUGGUGGAGUGAUUUGUCUGGUUAAUUCCGUUAACGAACGAGACCUUAACCUACUAAAUAGUUUGCAAUCUCACCGAUUGCAAUUCUUCUUAGAGGGACUAUAUGUGUUAAGCAUAUGGAAGUUUGAGGCAAUAA
rnacentral:rRNA from 1 species